UGAAUUUUCUGUGCCUGAUUUGAAAAUCCAUAAACUAAUUGCUAAUAAGCGAACACAAACAACAAUCACAAACAAUAAUAACCAUAUAUUUCACUAGAGGAAUGGGCUGCACUAUUAGACCUCAAUAGAAGAAAAUCAGCCUCUGCAAGCAAGUUCCGGACAAUGCGUGUUGAUCCAACAAAAAGGUGCUUCCACCAUUGAUGAAGAGUACAUAAACCUCCAAAAUAAUUAGGAAACUAUCGUAUCUGAUAAUCAUACACGUAAGAAAACACACAGAAACACAAGAUUUGGUGGUUUAUUUCAAGAAAAGACAUAAAAACUAAAAGAAGAAAGGAAAGCUAAGGGAAAAACUCAAAAACACUAAAAAAAGGAAAGAAAAAGAUCAAGAAAAGUUAAAAAGUGGAGGGAGGGAGGUGCUGCCGGCCAAAAUGGCUGGUAGCACCUCAUCUGCGAGAUGGAACAGGCUUGAAGAGAAAGUUGACAUGGCAGCGUCCAAG
rnacentral:misc_RNA from 1 species